UACGUAGGGUGCGAGCGUUGUCCGGAAUUAUUGGGCGUAAAGGGCUCGUAGGCGGUUCAGUAAGUCGGGUGUGAAAACUCUGGGCUCAACCCAGAGACGCCACCCGAUACUGCUGUGACUUGAGUACGGUAGGGGAGUGGGGAAUUCCUGGUGUAGCGGUGAAAUGCGCAGAUAUCAGGAGGAACACCAGUGGCGAAGGCGCCACUCUGGGCCGUAACUGACGCUGAGGAGCGAAAGCGUGGGUAGCAAACAGG
rnacentral:rRNA from 1 species